rnacentral:rRNA from 1 species
AUUGAACGCUGGCGGCAGGCCUAACACAUGCAGGUCGAGCGGAUGAAGGGAGCUUGCUCCUGGAUUCAGCGGCGGACGGGUGAGUAAUGCCUAGGAAUCUGCCUGGUAGUGGGGGAUAACGUCCGGAAACGGGCGCUAAUACCGCAUACGUCCUGAGGGAGAAAGUGGGGGAUCUUCGGACCUCACGCUAUCAGAUGAGCCUAGGUCGGAUUAGCUAGUUGGUGGGGUAAAGGCCUACCAAGGCGACGAUCCGUAACUGGUCUGAGAGGAUGAUCAGUCACACUGGAACUGAGACACGGCCCAGACUCCUACGGGAGGCAGCAGUGGGGAAUAUUGGACAAUGGGCGAAAGCCUGAUCCAGCCAUGCCGCGUGUGUGAAGAAGGUCUUCGGAUUGUAAAGCACUUUAAGUUGGGAGGAAGGGCAGUAAGUUAAUACCUUGCUGUUUUGACGUUACCAACAGAAUAAGCACCGGCUAACUUCGUG